UUAUCGGAGAGUUUGAUCCUGGCUCAGGACGAACGCUGGCGGCGUGCCUAAUACAUGCAAGUCGAGCGGACAGAUGGGAGCUUGCUCCCUGAUGUUAGCGGCGGACGGGUGAGUAACACGUGGGUAACCUGCCUGUAAGACUGGGAUAACUCCGGGAAACCGGGGCUAAUACCGGAUGGUUGUUUGAACCGCAUGGUUCAAACAUAAAAGGUGGCUUCGGCUACCACUUACAGAUGGACCCGCGGCGCAUUAGCUAGUUGGUGAGGUAACGGCUCACCAAGGCGACGAUGCGUAGCCGACCUGAGAGGGUGAUCGGCCACACUGGGACUGAGACACGGCCCAGACUCCUACGGGAGGCAGC
rnacentral:rRNA from 1 species